rnacentral:rRNA from 1 species
UACGGAGGGGGCUAGCGUUGUUCGGAAUUACUGGGCGUAAAGCGCACGUAGGCGGCUUUGUAAGUUAGAGGUGAAAGCCCGGGGCUCAACUCCGGAAUUGCCUUUAAGACUGCAUCGCUCGAAUUGUGGAGAGGUAAGUGGAAUUCCGAGUGUAGAGGUGAAAUUCGUAGAUAUUCGGAAGAACACCAAUGGCGAAGGCGACUUACUGGACACAUAUUGACGCUGAGGUGCGAAAGCGUGGGGAGCAAACAGG